rnacentral:tRNA from 1 species
GAGGGAAUAGCUCAGUGGUAGAGUACGUGCCUGGCAUGCAUGAGGUCCAGGGUUCAAUCCCUAGUACCACCA